UUUCAAUGAUGAUCUUUUAAAUUCUGAAAUAAGAAUGACGAUUAUUUUAAAUCGAGCUUUUUAACACUGAUGAAAA